rnacentral:rRNA from 1 species
GAUGAACGCUGGCGGCGUGCCUAACACAUGCAAGUCGAACGAAGCAAUUAGAAUGAAGUUUUCGGAUGGAUUUUUAAUUGACUGAGUGGCGGACGGGUGAGUAACGCGUGGAUAACCUGCCUCACACUGGGGGAUAACAGUUAGAAAUGACUGCUAAUACCGCAUAAGCGCACAGUACCGCAUGGCACGGUGUGAAAAACUCCGGUGGUAUGAGAUGGACCCGCGUCUGAUUAGCUAGUUGGUGAGGUAACGGCCCACCAAGGCGACGAUCAGUAGCCGACCUGAGAGGGUGACCGGCCACAUUGGGACUGAGACACGGCCCAG